rnacentral:misc_RNA from 1 species
GAUGAAGAACGUAGCGAAAUGCGAUACUUGGUGUGAAUUGCGGAAUCCCGUGAACCAUCGAGUCUUUGAACGCAAGUUGCGCCCGAAGCCACUAGGCCGAGGGCACGCCUGCCUGGGCGUCACACGCCGUUGCCCCCCCAUCUACUCCUUCGGGAUUGCGGGGGGGCGGAUGAUGGCCUCCUGUGCGCCUAGCCGCGCGGUUGGCAUAAAUACCAAGUCCUCGGCGACGCACGCCACGACAAUCGGUGGUUGCGAAACCUCGGUUGCCCGUCGUGUGCGUUCGUCGCGCAUCGAGGGCUCGAAAAAAUGCUCGGCUCCGGCUGGGCUUUCAACGCGACCCCAGGUCAGGCGGGGUUACCCGCUGAAUUUAAGCAUAUCAAUAAGCGGAGGA